UAGCAGCUAUUCAGCUGGUGUUGAACAACAAUAUUGACAAAGCCGCCAUGUUUGCAGACUUUGGAUUUCUGAGCAGCCCCUUUGGAGAGGCGCUCCUCCAAAAUCUCAGCAAGUUGUUUGAGAUGGCCAUGCAGCGUUUGGUCCUUGCGGCGUUGGCUUUCCUACUGUGUCCCCAUGAGACGCACAACGUGAGAGACGAGCCCCCGAGCUGCAAGCCGCUGACCGCCUCUUACUGCCAAAAUGUAGGCUACAGUACCAGCCGUCACCCUGGCGGAGUGCAAGGCUUCAACCUGCAGCAGUUGAGUCAGGUUGUGGAGACGACCUGCUCGCCCCAAGUGGCUGCACUCGUGUGUCGCCUGGCCUUCCCACCGUGCGGCAGCAACUCAGAAGACGACGCCCGCAUGAAGCCAUGCCGAGCUUUCUGCGCGAAGGUCAAGGCCGAGUGUGAGGCCAUCCUCAAAGCCCAGCGCCUGACGUGGCCCAGCAAGCUGCAGUGUGACACGCUACCCGAGUCCAACUGUGUGCAGCAAUCUGAUACUGGCCCAACUUGUCAGAGUAUCACAGUCCCUAUGUGCAAAGACGUUUCGUACACCCAGACUGUCAUGCCAAACUCUCUGGGCCAUAGGAGGCAGGAGGACGCGGGCCUGGAGGUGCACCAGUUCUUCCCACUGGUCAAAGUAGAGUGCUCGCCCCAGCUGAAGCCCUUCCUGUGCUCCGUCUACAUUCCAGAGUGCAUGGCGGGAAAGGCCCGGGCCCCAUGCAGAACUCAGUGUGAGGAGGCUCGGUCCGGCUGUGAGCCGCUGAUGAGACGGUUUGGUUUCCAUUGGCCGGACAGUCUCAGAUGUGAAGACUUUUCAACAUAUUCAUGUGAAAAGGAUCAUGGCUCCAGUGUGACAUCAGCAGGAUCGUGUCAGAGCAUCACCAUUCCUUUCUGCAAAGAUCUUCCUUACACUGAAACCAUCAUGCCCAACGCUCUGGGACACAAGACUCAGCAGGAGGCCACUCUGUACUUCAGUACCUUCUAUACGCUGGUCCACACGGACUGCUCCCCUCACCUGAAGACCUUCCUGUGCUCCGUCUUCACUCCCGAGUGCGUGGCGGGAAUUGCCAGGCCUCCCUGCAGAACCUUGUGUGAGCAGGCCCGGUCAGGCUGUGAGCCUGUGCUGAAGCAGUUUGGUUUAAGUUGGCCGGAAACGCUCGGGUGUGAGGCCUUUUCCACAGCAUCAUGCCAGCACUACGCCGCGUCCAGCGGUGGCACCUGUGAGCCCCUCACCAUUCAGAUGUGUCAGGGUCUGUCCUACAACCAGACCAUCACACCCAACCUGCUGGGCCACGCCAGCCAGCGAGAGGCCGCCUUCAAGAUGUCUUUAUUCAACAUGAUCGUACAAAACGCGUGCUCGGCCAACAUACGCCACUUCCUGUGCAUGGCGUACGCCCCCCAGUGCGUGGCAGGCCAAAUGAGGCGGCCCUGCAAGUCAUUCUGCGAGAAGGCCCACAAGAGCUGCGAGGGUCCGAUGAGCAGCUACGGCAUCCCGUGGCCGGCCGAGCUGAACUGCGACGCCUUCCCGCAGGACAUGUGUGUCGCUGACGACAGCAGGCCAGAGAUGCUGGACGCUGACGGUGUUCUGGCCAAGUUGCAGGCUGGAGGGUACUCUGUUCGUGGCAAAUUGCUGACUCUCAGGACGGCCCGCAUGCUGGUGAAACUCGCUGAUGCAGACAAAUCUGGAGACCUGGAUGUGGUGGAAUUCUUCAAAUUGGAGCAUGACGUGGCUGUUACCAGGAGGGAAUAUGUGGAGAGCUAUGAGAGGGAGACGCCACCUUCUGUCACACAAGCUCAAAUGAGAGAGGCUCUGACUUCACGGGAAUUGAACCUGAAUAAGGAAACCUUCACGACGCUGUGGCUGGAAUACAGCAGUCACGACAAGAUUGAGUACGACGAUUAUGUCACUUUGCUGACCAAACUUCAGAUCCUCAAAGUCUCUCUUUUGCAACCUGCUGAUGACACUCUGUGACUGGCAAUGGUGAGGUACUGUUGAUCAACUAUCAGCCAAAAUGAAAAUGAAAUUUCACCCGAAAGCGGAACAUCCCUACCUUUUUAUCGCUUCCAGUCUCACCUCCUCAGUUUGCCGUGCGACUGCCAGGUGGCCACCUUCUCCUUCAAACAGUUCAUCGAGGCUGCUGUAGUGUGAAGACCAAACAGGACAUCGUGAACAGGCAUGUGAGGACCAAAGUUUAUUAGCACCUUUCCUCUUAUUCGUGACACAGUUUCAUUGUGUUUUUCUUUUUAAUCUCUCUUACACAAUUAAAGGAGUAUACAGUAUAUGCUGUCUAUGAUAAACAUGGUGUGUAAAUACAUGGAAUACAGUAUAUGUAAGCGCUACUGUUAACUCAGUGACUUGUAUGAAAAUGUUACCUGGAAUGACAAAUAUUCAUUGUACAGUGGAACCCCUGAAGUCAAACACCGCUGUUGUAACAUGCUGGUUGAGUUAGAAACGUUUUUUUUUCUCAAGUUAAUCCGUUCUGGGGUCAGUCACCAUCACAAAACCUUUAUUAACUACGCAGGCAAUUUAACUUGUAAAAUGCUCAACUGUCACAUAAGUAGAAAAAGAAGUUAAACACUGAAUAAAGAAAAAUGCCUGACUAAUGCGUGCUGGAGAGGGAUGCUGAAGGCUGCUGAAGGUCGACUUCAUGUUAAAAUAUUUAAUUAUGCUUCGGGAACUUAAGCAAAGCAAUGCUGUCACCGAGUGGUCUUUUACUACUGGUACUGCUGGAUGUAACAUUCAGGAAGCUAUGCUGUAUGUUGAACUUUUAUUUUGUGGUGCGCAACAAUGUUGAUAGGGAAAUUGAAUAAAAUGCCUGCUUUAGUUCAGUAAAAAAAACAACAACAACAA